UACGUAGGGCGCAAGCGUUAUCCGGAAUUAUUGGGCGUAAAGAGCUCGUAGGCGGUUCGUCGCGUCGGCUGUGAAAUCCCGAGGCUCAACCUCGGGUCUGCAGUCGAUACGGGCGGACUGGAGUUCGGCAGGGGAGACUGGAAUUCCUGGUGUAGCGGUGAAAUGCGCAGAUAUCAGGAGGAACACCGGUGGCGAAGGCGGGUCUCUGGGCCGAUACUGACGCUGAGGAGCGAAAGCGUGGGUAGCAAACAGG
rnacentral:rRNA from 1 species